AAUUUAUAAACGUUAUAUAAAAUUAAAUAAGGUUAUAAAUAGAAUCGGAUAUUCGAAUACGGAUUGGAUAGUUGUCUAUCCAUAUCUAUAUUCAUUUUUCUUUGCCAGAUAUAGAUAUAAAUAUGGAUAUUAGUCAAAUACUCGAAUUUUUAUCUAUAUCCGAAUAUAUUUAGAUACGAAAAUAAACCCGAACAUAUGUUAUCUGAUCUACUUUUAUUUCUAAGUGAAACGGAGAUUAAAAGUUAUAAAAGUUGAAGUGCUAGUGUAAAAUAUGGAAAUUAGUGUUGAGUCGGCUAAAAGAAAAUAGUAGAACCAAUUAGUAAAUAUAUCAAAGUCUUAAGCCCUCCGAAUCCAAGAAAUUGUUUUUUUGGGGUACAAUCCAAGAAAUUAUUUGCUCACAAGCUUCUGAAGCACCUACCUU
rnacentral:lncRNA from 1 species